AACCACGCCCAGUGCACAUGCACUGCACAUAGAGUCACAUGCACUGAUUGCCGGUUACAUGGACCAUGGAACCGGAAGUUAAUGCACAACUUCAGCAAUCAUCCAAUAGGAGCCUGCAAAUUGUGGAGGGACUGCCUUUGUGAUGAAGUCACUUACGAACCGGAGAGAACACCUUAGUGUGACGUCAUUUUGAACCAGGAAGUGCAAUGCAUAUCUAGUCUUACAGGUAAUAAUGUAUGCUACAAGAGGAGUCGACCCUGGCAAAUGCAACCUGAAUCUUCAGAAUGCUAUGAUGUCAUGCAACUGGCAUUUCAGGAAUACUUCCAGAUAUCAAUUUGAAUAACUUGGUACACUGAACCACCUAGUUUUCUAAAAACAAAGAAACAUUGACUCCAUAGUUGUAGAAUCAUUAACUUUGAGUACAAAGGCAGAUAUUGGCAACAAAAUUGAUUGACUGAUGAUGAAUGUUAAAUUAGUACAGUUGACUGUAGUUAAUACGAGGGCCUUGGGACUAACUAAAUUAGCUUGUAUUAUUCCGACCUCGUCUUAUGCGAAACCUGCUGUCCUGCUUGACACAUGCAUAAAUACAUGUAUCACCAAUCGACCAUAGGUAACGCGUAAGGGUAUACAAAACGGAGAAAGCGGACUUUCCACCAGUCAUGUCGGAGCAAUGCCGUAUCACAAGUCCUGGCCCCGCACACCGUGAUAAGAUCCACAUGCGCGCAACGUAACCUCCGGCCUCUCCCUGGCCACCACGAUGCCCAGCAACUGGUCUUCCAGACCCUCCGGAGUGAUCAUGAAGUUCAGCAAGGUCACCUGUC